GCUGCCGUAGCUCAGUGGUAGAGCACUCCCUUGGUAAGGGAGAGGUCGUGGGUUCGAUUCCCCCUGGCAGCACCA
rnacentral:tRNA from 3 species